rnacentral:rRNA from 1 species
GACGAACGCUGGCGGCGUGCUUAACACAUGCAAGUCGAACGGUAAGGCCCUUUCGGGGGUACACGAGUGGCGAACGGGUGAGUAACACGUGGGUGAUCUGCCCUGCACUUUGGGAUAAGCCUGGGAAACUGGGUCUAAUACCGAAUACACCUUGCUGGUUGCAUGGCCUGGUGAGGGAAAGCUUUUGCGGUGUGGGAUGGGCCCGCGGCCUAUCAGCUUGUUGGGGGGGUGAUGGCCUACCAAGGCGACGACGGGUAGCCGGCCUGGGAGGGUGUCCGGCCACACUGGGACUGAGAUACGGCCCAGACUCCUACGGGAGGCAGCAGUGGGGAAUAUUGCACAAUGGGCGCAAGCCUGAUGCAGCGACGCCGCGUGAGGGAUGACGGCCUUCGGGUUGUAAACCUCUUUCAGCUACGACGAAGCGCAAGUGACGGUAGUAGCAGAAGAAGCACCGGCCAACUACGUGCCAGCAGCCGCGGUAAUAC